UUGUGCCUACGGGAGGCAGCAGUGGGGGAUAUUGCACAAUGGGGGAAACCCUGAUGCAGCGACGCCGCGUGUGGGAAGACGGUCCUCUGGAUUGUAAACCACUGUCCCCAGGGACGAAAAUGACGGUACCUGAAGAAGAAGCCCCGGCUAACUAAGUGCCAGCAGCCGCGGUAAUACGUAGGGGGCAAGCGUUAUCCGGAUUUACUGGGUGUAAAGGGGGCGCAGACGGCGAUGCAAGCCAGGAGUGAAAGCCCGGGGCCCAACCCCGGGACUGCUCUUGGAACUGCGUGGCUGGAGUGCAGGAG
rnacentral:rRNA from 1 species